UCUGGUGGUUUGUCGGCAGGGAAACACCUGUUCCCAUUCCGAACACAGCCGUUAAGCCUGCUAGAGCCGAUGGUACUCGAAAGGGGAGAGUAGGCAGCCGCCAGGU
rnacentral:rRNA from 1 species